GGAAUAUUGCACAAUGGGGGAAACCCUGAUGCAGCCAUGCCGCGUGUGUGAAGAAGGCCUUCGGGGUGUAAAGCACUUUCAGUGGUGAGGAAGGCCGUAAGAUUAAUACUCUUGCGGAUUGACGUUAACCACCGAAGAAGCACCGGCUAACCCCGUGCCAGCAGCCGCGGUAAUACGGAGGGUGCAAGCGUUAAGCGGAAUUACUGGGCGUAAGGCGUACGUAGGCGGCUUGUUAAGCAAGAUGUGAAAGCCCCGGGCUCAACCUGGGAAUGGCAUUUUGAACUGGCAGGCUCGAGUUCUGAAGAGGGUGGUAGAAUUUCCUGUGUAGCGGUGAAAUGCGUAGAUAUAGGAAGGAAUACCGGUGGCGAAGGCGGCCACCUGGUCAGAAACUGACGCUGAGGUACGAAAGCGUGGGGAGCA
rnacentral:rRNA from 1 species